CCUACGGGGGGCAGCAGUGAGGAAUAUUGGGCAAUGGGCGGAAGCCUGACCCAGCAACGCCGCGUGGAGGAAGACGGCCUUCGGGUUGUAAACUCCUUUUACGGGGGAAGAGGAAGGACGGUACCCCGAGAAUAAGUCACGGCUAACUACGUGCCAGCAGCCGCGGUAAUACGUAGGUGACAAGCGUUAUCCGGAAUUACUGGGCGUAAAGCGCACGCAGGCGGCGCAUUAAGUCUGACGUGAAAUCUCCCGGCUUAACUGGGAGGGGUCGUUGGAGACUGAUGUGCUUGAGGCGGUGAGAGGGGUGUAGAAUUCCCGGUGUAGUGGUGGAAUGCGUAGAUAUCGGGAGGAAUACCAGUGGCGAAAGCGGCACCCUGGCACUAGCCUGACGCUCAUGUGCGAAGGCGUGGGGAGCGAACGGGAUUAGAUACCCGGGUAGUC
rnacentral:rRNA from 1 species